UAAUCCCAAUGGUCAUUUUAAUUGAUGUCAACUGUAAUAACACCAACAAAUAAUUGGAGGAAAUAAGUUUUUGAAUUCUUUCGCAAGAGAACAAAAGUAUAUAAUAAAGAAUUAUGACUGCAUGUUUUCUUUUGCUAUUUCUUCAUCAUUACAUUCUUACAUUACCAAUAGGUCACUCAGGUCUUCUGACCAGGGAUUACCAGGUGAUCCUCGCACUUGUUUAAACAAAAAA